rnacentral:rRNA from 1 species
AGAUUAAACAUAAGAGUUUGAUCCUGGCUCAGAUUGAACGCUGGCGGCAUGCUUUACACAUGCAAGUCGAACGGCAGCACGGAGAGCUUGCUCUCUGGUGGCGAGUGGCGAACGGGUGAGUAAUGCAUCGGAACGUACCGAGUAAUGGGGGAUAACUGUCCGAAAGGAUGGCUAAUACCGCAUACGCCCUGAGGGGGAAAGCGGGGGAUCUUAGGACCUCGCGUUAUUUGAGCGGCCGAUGUUGGAUUAGCUAGUUGGUGGGGUAAAGGCCUACCAAGGCGACGAUCCAUAGCGGGUCUGAGAGGAUGAUCCGCCACAUUGGGACUGAGACACGGCCCAAACUCCUACGGGAGGCAGCAGUGGGGAAUUUUGGACAAUGGGGGGAACCCUGAUCCAGCCAUGCCGCGUGUCUGAAGAAGGCCUUCGGGUUGUAAAGGACUUUUGUUAGGGAAGAAAAGCCGGGUGCUAAUACCACCUGGUGCUGACGGUACCUAAAGAAUAAGCACCGGCUAACUACGUGCCAGCAGCC